rnacentral:rRNA from 1 species
UACGUAGGAUGCAAGCGUUGUCCGGAAUUAUUGGGCGUAAAGAGCGCGCAGGCGGUUUUACAAGUCAGAUGUGAAAGAGGCCGGCUUAACCGGCAAGGGUCAUUUGAAACUGUGAGACUAGAGUACAGCAGAGGAUAGCGGAAUUCCCGGUGUAGUGGUGAAAUGCGUAGAUAUCGGGAGGAACACCAGUGGCGAAGGCGGCUAUCUGGGCUGAAACUGACGCUGAGGCGCGAAGGCUAGGGUAGCAAACAGG